rnacentral:lncRNA from 1 species
GGGAAAAGCAGAGGUUCAGGUGGGAAAGGGUCUGACUUCUUGGGCAGCUGCAAAGGAAGGGAGCGAAUCAAUUCCUACUGUGAGGAAAGAAAAAACUUGGUGACACCAGAGGUAGAAGUAGCCAAGAGCUAGAAUAAAGGAUGCAGCUUCACUUUGUAAUCUGAUUAC